rnacentral:misc_RNA from 1 species
CCAAACUUGGUCAUUUAGAGGAAGUAAAAGUCGUAACAAGGUUUCCGUAGGUGAACCUGCGGAAGGAUCAUUAUCGUGGGCUGUUCUUUUGGAACGGUUACCCGACCUGUGUCAUUUGCUGGUUGGCGAAGUGGAGACGAACGGAGCCGAGAGAUCGGGUUCGAACGUCGAAGAGACCUCGCCAACACGAUAUUUCGGCGGAAGAGGUGGUCGUCGAGCCACCCGCCGCCGGUCGUAUUCCACGCUCUUUUUUGAGAAACUGAAUCGUCUGAGAAACCGAAAAACGAAAAGCAAAACUUUCAACAACGGAUCUCUUGGCUCUGGCAUCGAUGAAGAACGCAGC